GACGAACGCUGGCGGCGUGCCUAAUACAUGCAAGUAGAACGCACAGUUUAUACCGUAGCUUGCUACACCAUAGACUGUGAGUUGCGAACGGGUGAGUAACGCGUAGGUAACCUGCCUGGUAGCGGGGGAUAACUAUUGGAAACGAUAGCUAAUACCGCAUAAUAUUAAUUAUUGCAUGAUAAUUAAUUGAAAGGUGCAAUUGCACCACUACCAGAUGGACCUGCGUUGUAUUAGCUAGUAGGUGAGGUAACGGCUCACCUAGGCGACGAUACAUAGCCGACCUGGGAGGGUGAACGGCCACACUGGGACUGGGACACGGCCCAGACUCCUGCGGGAGGCAGCAGUAGGGAAUCUUCGGCAAUGGACGAAAGUCUGACCGAGCAACGCCGCGUGAGUGAAGAAGGUUUUCGGAUCGUAAAGCUCUGUUGUAAGAGAAGAACGGGUGUGAGAGUGGAAAGUUCACACUGUGACGGUAUCUUACCAGAAAGGGACGGCUAACUACGUG
rnacentral:rRNA from 1 species